CAGCAGCCGCGGGAAUACGUAGGUCCCGAGCGUUGUCCGGAUUUAUUGGGCGUAAAGCGAGCGCAGGCGGUUAGAUAAGUCUGAAGUUAAAGGCUGUGGCUUAACCAUAGUACGCUUUGGAAACUGUUUAACUUGAGUGCAAGAGGGGAGAGUGGAAUUUCAUGUGUAGCGGUGAAAUGCGUAGAUAUAUGGAGGAACACCGGUGGCGAAAGCGGCUCUCUGGCUUGUAACUGACGCUGAGGCUCGAAAGCGUGGGGAGCAAACAGGAUUAGAUACCCCCGUAGUCCCUGUCUCUUAUACA
rnacentral:rRNA from 1 species